UCACCUUGUCGACCUAUUCAUUCUCCAAGCUGAAGUUCAUCGAGUCCCCGACCUCCUUCUCCGACCCAAGCCGACUAGAGCCGCCUCCGACCUGACCCCGAGUCCCGACCUCACCCCAUGUUCCCCUGCCUCGCUUUCUGACCUCGAGUCCCCGAUUUCGUUCUCCAGACCCCGAUCUCGUUCUCCGCCUCCGAUCUGACUCGAUUCUUCUACACUAUUUAUCAUCAUCUGCACUCAGGGACGGAGACACUACAGAUCGAUUUUGGUUCCACCUUCCAGAGUUGCAGGCUCUAGCAAUCGAGCCAGCUCCCCUUUCAGUUCGCCUGAGCCACCUCCACUGCGAGUUUGCAUCUCUGCGACUACAUGAAGGAUUCAAUCCCUGAAUCUCAGGUAAACACCGUAAACUGCUGAUUAUGUUUGAUAAUUGGGAAUGGGUUGUCCAGAUUCUUGAUUCAUGAUGUUUGGUGUUUUGGGUGAGGUGUUAAAUUGAUUACCCAACAGUCCAAUACCCGUUUCUGUUUGUCUGAUUGUUGCUGGAAAUGAAGAGGCAAAAUCUCCACAAGUUAAGUGGUGCUCUGGUGCUGGUGCCAUCGUAAAUCAUCUUCAUCAUCUUAGAAUGAUGAUGGUGGCUGGGGACUACACAUCGAAGGACUUGCAGGGCUUUGGUUCCAGUUUUCUGUGAUGGGUAAUGCUCGAGCCAUUGGUGCGUUUCCGGUGCUUGUGUUAGUCCAGUUCUUUGUUAUUGCAGCAGAGGCAAACACUCAGGAAUAUGGUUAUAUGCAGAUUCUUAUGGAUGAGUGGAAUAUAAAACCUCCUAGUUGGGUGAGUGCCGAUCCUUGUGACGGCUGGGAAGGUAUUAAGUGCACCAAUUCACGCAACACUGCCUUGUAAGUUCUUGGUCUUCACCUUUUUAGUGCUCCUGGAAGUUGCUUGCUUCAUAUUUUAUGAGGAUAUUACCGGAAAAAUCUUAAAAACAGAAUGCUGCUUUGGCAUGGUUCUCGGUUUACGAACUUUGUGGGAAUACUUAGCCAAGGCCUAAGAAUAGCUCCUCCUGAAGCUCCAGCUACUGGUUAUAUGUAUAUGGAUAAACCUCCUAAGGGAAAGCACUCUACGAAGGGACUUGGCAAGAAAAAACCUGAGUCGGACUAUGUUAAAUGGAGAGAUGAUGUCACUGUGCCCUGCGGCAAACUAGUGUAUUCACAUGUCAGGGCCUCUGAGCUGAUGUAUAAUGAGUAUAUUGUUUAUGAUACAGCUCAAUAAUACUAGAAGUGGCAGCUACAUUAACUGGAUAUCAGUGUAAGAUUGUGUACACUUCGGGUUCUAAUUCUUAGAGCCGCUCUAAAUAACUGGAUAUCAACCUUUGCCUAGUGUUGGUACACUACUAAUUUUAGAAGUUGUUCUCUGAACAGGUUAAGAUGCAAUUUCUAUUGAAGGUGAAGUCCACUUAAGAUUAAGUAUCACUCUCCUGAAGAGGAAAUAGCCUUUGGUCCUCCUGGUUGUUGGUUAUGGGACUAUUUAAGAAGAAGUGGAGCUUCUGGGUUUCUGCUACCCCUUUCUGGUGGAGCAGAUAGCUCGUCUGUGGCUGCCAUAGUUGGCUGCAUGUGUCAGCUUGUGGUAAAAGGUUAGUUUUUCUAAACUAUCCUAUUUACCAUUUGUUUCAUUUAUUUUUGUGCCAUUGACUUGUGGGCUGCAUGAUGCAUGGAUUGUAACCAUAUGUGAAACGUAGAAUACGUUGAUCAUUAGCCUUGCAUGCUCACUCGUGAUAGAGUUUACAUAUUCCAUAUUAGAACCAUACCAUUUUCAAGUAAACCUGAGCAAGCUUUUUGCAUA